UGUCUAAGACCUGCUUAGUUUGAAACCCUUAGACUCAAGAGUUUGUCUCCAUAUCUCUAACCACUCGUUAACAUCGACCCUCGUAUCGUCAAUCAAGAUUAUGUCAUCAGCAAAUAGCAUACACCAUGGCACAUCCCUUUGAAUAUGGCGUGUUAGAGUAUCCAUCACCAAAGAAAAUAAGAUAAGGCUAAGCACAGAUCCUUGGUGAAGCCCCAUAACUACCGGGAAAUGGUCUGAGUCGCCACCCACAGUCCUAACCCUAGUCUUAGGUCCAUCGUAUAUGUCCUUGAUCACUCUAAUGUAGGCUUCCGGCACGCUCUUCGCCUCCAAAAACCUCCAUAGCACCUCACUUGGGACCUUGUCAUACGCCUUCUCCAAAUCAAUAAACACCAUGUGCAGGUCUUCCUUCUUAUCCCUGAACUGUUCCACCAAUCUCUUGACAAGGUGGAUAGCUUAUGUAAUAGAAAGGCCCGGCAUGAAACCAAACUGGUUCACGGAUAUAAAUAUCAUCUCCCUCACCCUCGCCUCAACCACCCGCUCCCAGACUUUCAUGGUGUGGCUUAGUAUUUUAUAUCCCUAUAGAAAGAACCCUAAAUGGGGGCUGCUUCUUUCCCUCACCCUCGCCUCAACCACCCGCUCCCAGACUUUCAUGGUGUGGCUUAGUAUUUUAUAUCCCUAUAGUUGUUACAACACUCGAUAUCCCAUUUUUUCUUAUACAAGGGCACCACUGUACUCCACCUACACUCCUCCGGUAUCCUCUUAGUCCUCAAGAUCACAUUGAACGACCUGGACAGCCACUCCACUCAUGUCCUAUCCGUGCAUUUCCAGAACUCCACCAGGAUUUCGUCUGGACCAGUCGCUCGACCCCUACCAUCCUCAUCCUUGAUGCAACUAACUUGGUCUAGAUCCCGCACCUUCCUCUCCCUCACUCUAGCCAACCUGAAUAACUUCUUGUCCUCGCCUUUCUUCCCCAAUUCCUCGUACAUGCGACCAAACUCCGUACUUUUAGCUUCCUUGACCACCAGCUUCGCUUCCUUCCUCGCCACCUUGUAGCUCUCCCUAUUCGCUCUCCUUUAAUCAUCGCUUGUGCUCCCUGCCAACUUAGCAAACGCCGCCUUCUUGCCUCCACUUUUCCUUGGACUACAUCGUUCCACCACCAGUCACCUUGAUGUCUGCCUGAAUAGCCCUUAGCUACCCCGAGCACAUCUCUUGCUGCCUCCCUAAUCAGGUUCACCAUCUCUGACCACAUUGCGUCCGCUUCCCCAGAACUUCUCCAAGCUCCAUCAUCAACUAACCUCCUCUCCAACUCCUGAGCUUUCUUCUUAGACAAACCUCCCCAUCUAAUCCGCGGCCGGCCCCGUGCACCCCUCCUCUUCCUCUUCACCCAAAGACCGGCAUCCAUCACUAGGAGUCUAUGGAGAGUAGAAAGGGACUCUCCCGGAAUAACCUUACAGUCAUUGCACAACCCUCUAUCGCUUCUUUUGAGGAGGAGGUAAUAAAUCUGAGUCAUUGCCGCCGAACUUUUGAAAAUAACCAAAUGCUCAUCCCUAUUCUGAAAUGACGAGUUUGCAAUCAAAAGCUAAAAAGCCCUGGCGAAAUCAAGCAUCAAAGUGCCUCCUCCGUUCCUAACCCCAAAGCCAUAGCCACCAUGCACCUCACCAUAACCACUAGCAUCAGACCCAAUAUGACCAUUAAAAUCCCCUCAAAUAACUAACUUCUCAGAUUAGGGAAUACUUCUCACCAACUCGUCCAAGCCCUCCCAAAAGCGCCUAUUAACCUCCUCAUAUAAUCCUGCUUGCGGCGCGUAAGCGCUGAUGACAUUGAGGACGCAACCACCAAUAACCAACUUAAUAGACAUUAACAUAUCAUUCACUCUCCUAACCUCAACCACGGACUCCCUAAGAUCUAUAUCUACCAAGAUACCCACUCCAUUCUUACCCCUCAUGACCCCAGAAUACCACAGCUUCUAAACACAUUACAUAAUAGAUUUCCUAAGAUCCACAUCCACCAAGAUACCCACUCCAUUCUUACCCCUCACGACCCUAGAGUACCACAGCUUAAAUCCGUCUACAUUCCUCGCCUUCGACCCUUUCCACCUAGUCUCUUGCACACACACUAUGCUGACCCUCAUCUUCUGAAGAAUCUUCGCCAACUCAAUGGACUUACCUAUCAUGGUGCCUAUGUUCCACGACCUGAUCCUCAAUCUAUGAACGUCCGCUAUCCCCUUGCCACCCUUACCUCCCGCCCCACCCCAAAACUGCUCCCUGCCUCCCUUGACUACGAAGAUGUGCACACAAAGUUAAGCUGAAUACGAAAAAGGGCGCUAGCUAGAAUACGUAAAAAGGUGUGCAUCGUAAACAAAAAGAUCGGGGGGCACCAACUCCCGGUGAGGAAAAAAACCUGGAAGUAGGCUUUGAUGUGCCUGAGGUCAACUACUGCCAACUCCUGCCCGUUCCGGCUGGUGACACUACGCUCUUCACUCCCAAUUUGCAAGCUCGCCUCGUCUGCCGCGGCUAGUACCUGAAAAUCACACACACACAACAACCCCACAAAAAAACGGGGAGGGGGGGUUGCCGGACUCGGGAAAAAGGAGGGAUGCUGCCUGAAGGUGAGGUGGAGUGGGAGGAGGGGGAACGGGAGAGAGAGAAGAGAUAGAAAGAAGGGGGAGAGAGAGAGAGAUAGAGAGAGAGAGAGAGAGUGGGGACUUACCCGUGAGGUUCGCCAGCGCAGUCACCGGAAUUAGAGAGUGGGAGGGGGGGAACGGGGGAAAGGCAAGAGGAGAGGGAGCUGGGGUGGCGAGGGUAGGGUACAUGCGACCAAACGCCGUANNNNNNNNNNNNNNNNNNNNNNNNNNNNNNNNNNNNNNNNNNNNNNNNNNNNNNNNNNNNNNNNNNNNNNNNNNNNNNNNNNNNNNNNNNNNNNNNNNNNNNNNNNNNNNNNNNNNNNNNNNNNNNNNNNNNNNNNNNNNNNNNNNNNNNNNNNNNNNNNNNNNNNNNNNNNNNNNNNNNNNNNNNNNNNNNNNNNNNNNNNNNNNNNNNNNNNNNNNNNNNNNNNNNNNNNNNNNNNNNNNNNNNNNNNNNNNNNNNNNNNNNNNNNNNNNNNNNNNNNNNNNNNNNNNNNNNNNNNNNNNNNNNNNNNNNNNNNNNNNNNNNNNNNNNNNNNNNNNNNNNNNNNNNNNNNNNNNNNNNNNNNNNNNNNNNNNNNNNNNNNNNNNNNNNNNNNNNNNNNNNNNNNNNNNNNNNNNNNNNNNNNNNNNNNNNNNNNNNNNNNNNNNNNNNNNNNNNNNNNNNNNNNNNNNNNNNNNNNNNNNNNNNNNNNNNNNNNNNNNNNNNNNNNNNNNNNNNNNNNNNNNNNNNNNNNNNNNNNNNNNNNNNNNNNNNNNNNNNNNNNNNNNNNNNNNNNNAGGGGGCUGGGGUGGGGGAAAAAGGGAGAAGAGAGAAAGAGAAGAGGGUAGGGGUGAGCUUACGAAGGGGACCAUACUUGUCAAAGGCUUUUGGUAAAGUAACAAGUGCUGAGACAUCUGAACCGAAAGACAAAGUGGGCGUUUGGGCAUAAGAAUUGGAAAAUUUCAAAAAAAAAAGCCAAAAAGAAAAAUUCAAGUAAAAAUCAUAGUUGAAAAUUAGAGUUGUGUUUGGGCAUGAAUAUAAUUUUAUGUUGUUUUUAUAGUUUUAUGAGUAAUCUGAGUGAAAAUUUUGAAAAAUAACUUUUUAGAGUUUUUCAAAUUUUUAAAAAAUUUCAAAAUGAAUCUUAAAUUGAAAAUUGAAAAUUUUAUGACCAAAUACUUAUUUAAAAAAAGUAAAAAUUUUCUUAUAUCCAAACAAGCUCUAACUAUAUGAUUUGAUAAUGGUAAAAACUACAAUCACCCUUCUCCUUUUCUUUUGUCAGCCUAACGUAAAUAUUUGUUAUUUCUCACAAUCCUUUUAAUCUUUUUUAUCCGUCUAAUGUAAAACUUACGUGCAUUGGGUGUUUACACAAAACCAAAUGAUAAAUUACAUGCAUUUUUAUCUAAUUAAAUCAAUUAAUCAUCGUGAAUUAAUAUAGUUUGGUGUAAACGCCGGUAUGGGUAAGUAUUUACCUUAAAUAUAUGUUAUUCUCACGACCCUUCUCUUUAAUUUUUCUUUAGCAUUCUAACAUUAUUUCUUAUGAGCACGAGUAUUUUUGUAUGUUUCUUGGUUCUUCAACCAUAAAAGACAAGCCUUGGCCAUUGGAAGAUGAACAAACAACCCAAGACAUAAAAAUGAAACAUAUGGCAACAGGAACAGCAGUUUCUGAGUUGAAAAAACCAAAACAAGGAUGCUCCAAGGGGUUGACCAAUAUGUUGAUUCGAUUAGAUUAGAUUUAUAAACUACAAAAAGGUGGAAAAUCCAGCACUCCACUUGCUUCUCCCCAAAUAUUUCAAUGUGAUAUUGUACGAUUUCAUUUUGUUUUCUUCUUGUUAUAAAAUAUGUACACAUAAUUUUAGUCGCCUAUUUUAUUUAUUCUUAUAGUUGAGAUUCGAAGCUGUCACCUCUCACGGUUAUGUUUUUUUUUUUUUUUUCUACAAGUAUGUUUGGAUUAUAGUUUUACAAUGUGCUUAUUGUAGACUAAAAAGAUGAAAAAACAAUAUUAUUAAUCUCAGGAAAAUCCCAAGUUAUUACUCACCUCAAUAAAAGAAAUUUAUUUUCUUUUUUUCUUUUUCUUUUUACAUUAUGCUGCAGUCAUGGUCAAAUUUCCACCUUUUUUAUCUUAAGAAGAAACUUUGGUGGUCAGCCGAAAUGAAAAGUGAAAAUUACUCAAUGGAAAAUCAAAAGAACAAAGAGAGAUUUUCAACAUUUUCUUUUUCAUUUCUAUUUGUUUAAUCCAAAGGGAAGAAUAAGACGUUAUAAAGAAUAAGGAUUCCAGUUCCUGAAUUUUAUCUUAGGCCACGUUUGAUUAUGAGUUUUGCCAAAAUAAAUUUGAGAUUUAUUUUUAAAAUUUGUGUUUGGCCAUAAAUUUUGCACAUAUUUUGGCCAAAUUCCAAAUAGCAAAUUUCAAAUCUCAAAAUUAUUUCUUGAGCUGAAUUUGGGUCAAAAUCCCAAAACUUUAGAUUAUAUACAUAUUUUUUUAAAAAAAUAAAUUGAAAAAUAUGUUUUAAAAGUGUAAGCUUAGUCUUGCCAACGAAAUUUUGAAGAUAUACAACCAAUCUUGAACCAUUAAGAGUCCUUCGGAUCAGGUGCUUCCAAUUUACAUUUCAGUUUUUACUUUAUAAAAAGGUACACUCUUUGACCGACUGCAACAUAUUAGUCACCUUAUUUUUUCUUAAUUAUCAGUUUAUAUUCAUAGAAACUUAUGUCUAAUUAACGUUUAUGUAGUAUGAUUGUAUAUAUAUAUGUACUUAUGCUUAAAAUAGUAAAUGGACAAACUUUAAAGUUUUUUCCCCCAUUAAUAAUACGAUAUUCAAAAUCCAUUGAUUCAAGUAAUUCAAAUUCAUAUUGGAUAUAUACACUCACUAAAAGAAAUAAAUUACUGAAAACUUCUUCGAUCUAGAAGGCGAACCUAAAUUUUGUUCAAUUUUAAUCUCUUUAUUUUAAGAGAUAACGCAUAAAUACCUCAUUAAACUUGUUUGGAAAAGUCAUUUGUAUACCUUAAUUUUACGGGUGUCCUAACAUCCCACUAUUCUUAUUUGGGGUGAAUUUAAUAGUAACACUUAGUCGGUCUUGCGGGGGGAGUGUAUAUAGUACACACGUGCCACGUGUCAAAAUCUGCUCAAAAAUUAUUUUUUUUCAAUUUUUUUCAAAAAAAUAGUUUACAAAAUAAACUUCUUUUUAAAAACUGAAAAAAUAAAAAUAAUAUUUUUCAAAAACGAAAAAUAUUUUGUUGAAAAAUAAUUUUUUCAUUUUAAAAAAAACAAAGAUAUUUUGUUAAAAACGAUUUUUUUCGAGUUUUUUCAACUCUCUGCCGUCUGCAAGGUAUCCUCGCCGUAAACAACCCCACGACAACCACUAAAACCAACAUUACCUCUUCAAAUUCCACCAAUCAGACACCCCAAACAAUUGAACUCUUGAAAGAAUCAUCACAACACCAUAAAUUCAGACGCAAAGGAUGGUUCCAUUAUGAACUCGCCGUUCACCGCCUUGCAAAAGCCAACCACUUCUCCGGCAUCGAAGAAAUUAUCGAGUAUCAAAAGUAGUACCUAGAUAUUGGUCUGCUAAAAUGAAGAAAUCGAAAAAGAAAGAGAAUGAAAAAGAAAAGAAAAAGAAAAGAAAAAAUGAAUAAGAAAUGAGAAAAAAAUAGGAUUAAGUUUAAUUAGUUAGAUUAUUCAAUAGGAAAGUGCCACCUGGAUAAUUAAAUUAAUUUAAAGCCUUUUUUUUUACCUGACGCGCAUCUACAGAAUUAGCUACACUUUUCAUGUCAGAUCAUCACCCAAUGGGAUAUUAAAUUUACCCAAACAAGAAUAGUAGGGUGUUAGAAUACUCAUAAAAUUAAAAGUGUGUAAAUAACUUUUCCAAACAAAUUUAAUGAGGUAUUUAUAUAUUAUCUUUUAGUUUAAUAUACAUUCAAAAGUGAAUAUACCGAAAGGACCAAUGUUGGAUUAUAGGAGAUGAAUAUGAUCACUCUAUUCUUAAGUAGGACUUUUGGGUAGAGACCUAAGAAUUGACGGAUUUUGUUAGGGUAGAGAGCAGAGGCAGAUCUAGGUGGGCGGAAGGGAGUUCAGCCGAACACCUUCACCAAAAAAUAUUAUAAUAUAUAUAAGAUUAAAUUUUUUCAUGUAUAUAUAUUAGCCAUUAAAUUCUCUUAAUUUCUUUGCAUGUUUAAUUAUUUAUCCUUUUUUGAAUUUCCUAAGUGAAAACUCUAUUUCCGACACUACUAAAAAGCACUUUCCUCUUUAAUGAAUAUUAGGCGACGUGAAUUCAAAUUAAUAUCUAGAGACGGGUAUCGAACAUAGAGAGGAAAAAAAAAGGGUACCAAGGGCAGAGGGUUGAAGAUUUGCUGGAAUUUGGAAAAUAGUGGAAUUAGACAGAAAACAGCUUUUAAAAGCUAAGCUAAUUGUUUGACUUGAGAAAUCACCGUUACUAAAAGGCAACGCCUAUUAGGUGGACCCUACGUUACCACAGCAAAACCAAUUUUUAAUAUUAUCCCAUUUGAUUAACUUAAUUGAUUAAUUCAGUAACAAAAUUACUAAUAAAUAUUAGAGGAGAGAAGCACACAACUUAUCUCUUAGUGGGGGGCUGUGCAUGUGAAAGUCAAUGUCAUUUCUUACUGUUUGUUAGAUACAGAAGGAAAAAAGUAGUAAUUGUACAAUUUACAUGUAGUGUGUAGAUACAGCCAGAUAGAGUCAAUCAAGAAGGAGAGAGAAAUUAAGAGAGUAUUGGUGUAAUCAAUAGAGGUAUGCUUUUGGGCUCAGAACUGCAAUUAAUGCACCUUUCAUUUUGAGACUGUUGCUUUUAAUUGGCUUUACCCCAAAAGAAAACAAAAAGGAAAAAAUAAAAAAGCCUAGUGAGGGAUAAUAAUAAUAUGAAGAGUGAGUUUUUUUUUUUCAACUCUACUUUCAGGUGUCUUUGAUUGAGGAUUAGCUGGAUGUUUUGGAGGUGUAGAUUCUUCUUCUUCUUCUUCAAUCUCUCUGUUCUUUUGGUCUCCAUUUCUUGAAGAUCUGCUUUGUUGCUUACUUUUGGGUGUUGGGGUUUGUUCCAAUUUCAUUCAACUGGUUGACUUUGGAUUUGGACAUUGUGAGGUUUUAUAAAAGUUUUAAGUCUUUGAAUCUUGGAUCUUAAGUUCCGUCUAGGUUUUUUUCCCCUUCAAAUGUUAUCUUCUAUAUUCUUGUUCGUUGAAUUUUCUCACCUCAAGAACUUGAAAUUGAUUGAUUGAGUAUUUCAGUCGAAGAUUAUUGGGUUUGUGUCAAUCUUCAAGAAAUGGCAAAAUUAGGGUUUCUUUGAUCUGGUGUAUUUUGUAUAUUUUUUAAUCAAUUCUUUUGAUACCAGUAUCUGGUCUUUGUGUUUUUGGUAAAGGCAAAUGCUUUAGGACUUUCUCUCCUUAAGUUAGAGUGCAUUUGAUUUUUGAAAGCAAAGGUUUUGAUUCCUUUGCUUUUCCAGAAGUUAGGGUUUGGGUACUAAGCCUUUCUUUUUCUGGGGUUUAGUGUUAGAUGGGCUAAAAACUAUUUCUCUGUCUUUGGUGAAGCUUUGUUCAGUCACUCCUUUUUUGGGUCCUCUCUGUGAUUGAUUAGCACACAGAGAAAGAAAAAAUAAGGUUGUAAUGCAUCUUUCACUAUGGAAGCCAAUAUCUCACUGUGCUUCUUUGAUCUUGGACAAAAAGAGCAGAAAGAGAAAUGGGUCUAACCAUACCACUGAAGAGAUAAAGAAAAACCCAUCUGUGCUGAAAAAAUUGCAAGAGCAUAAGCUGAGGGAGGCUCUUGAGGAAGCAUCUGAAAAUGGGUCUCUUGUUAAAUCUCAAGAUGUGGACUCCCUGUCAGCACAGAACCAAGAUGAUGGCUUGGGCCGAUCCCGGUCACUCGCUAGGCUACAUGCCCAAAAAGAGUUCUUGAAAGCCACUGCUCUUGCUGCAGAGCGCACUUUUGAAUCUGAGGACUCCAUUCCUGAGCUAAAUGAAGCCUUUUCUAAGUUCUUGACCAUGUAUCCUAAGUACCAGUCCUCGGAAAAGAUUGAUGAGUUGAGGUCAGAUGAGUACUCUCACCUUUCUGGCUCUGCACCUAAGGUAUGUCUUGAUUACUGUGGAUUUGGGUUGUUUUCAUUCCUUCAAAGUGUUCAUUACUGGGAGUCAUCUACAUUUAGCUUGUCUGAGAUUACUGCUAAUUUGAGCAAUCAUGCUCUGUAUGGGGGUGCUGAGAAAGGCACUGUGGAACACGAUAUUAAGACUAGAAUUAUGGAUUACUUGAACAUCCCUGAGAAUGAGUAUGGUCUUGUCUUUACUGUGAGUAGGGGCUCGGCUUUUAAGUUGUUAGCUGAAUCAUACCCUUUUCAGACCAACAAAAAGUUGUUGACUAUGUUUGAUCAUGAGAGCCAGUCGGUUAACUGGAUGGGUCAAUGUGCCAGAGAGAAAGGUGCCAAGGUUUAUAGUGCUUGGUUCAAAUGGCCUACCCUCAAACUAUGUUCAACUGAUUUGAGGAAGCAAAUUUCGAACAAAAAGAGGAGAAAGAAAGAUUCAGCUACUGGUCUCUUUGUUUUCCCAGUCCAGUCUAGAGUUACUGGUGCCAAGUACUCAUACCAGUGGAUGGCACUGGCUCAGCAGAAUAAUUGGCAUGUUUUGCUUGAUGCUGGCGCUCUGGGUCCCAAAGACAUGGAUUCUCUAGGAUUGUCUUUAUUCCGGCCGGACUUUAUAGUUACUUCAUUCUACAGGGUGUUUGGUUAUGACCCAACUGGAUUUGGAUGCCUUCUUAUAAAAAAAUCUGUGAUGGGAAGCCUUCAAAAUCAGUCGGGGCAUGCUGGGUCUGGUAUAGUAAAAAUUACUCCUGUUUUCCCCUUGUAUUUGAGUGACUCCGUUGAUGGUUUCCCUGGAUUAGCCGAGGAUGAUGAAGCGGGAGAGGACAGUGAAGCAAAUGACUCCGUUGAUGGUUUCCCUGGAUUGGCUGAGGAUGAUGAAGCGGGAGAGGACAGUGAAGCAAAUGCUGAAACUCGGCCAGGAUCUCAGUUGCCAGCCUUUUCUGGUGCUUACACUUCUGCUCAGGUCAGGGAUGUAUUUGAGACAGAGAUGGAGCAUGACAACAGCUCCGAUAGGGACGGAGCAAGCACGAUAUUUGAAGAGACUGAAAGCAUUUCAGUUGGGGAGGUAAUGAGAAGUCCAGUCUUUAGUGAAGAUGAAUCAUCUGAUAACUCCCUGUGGAUUGACUUGGGCCAGAGCCCCUUGGGAUCUGACGGUGCUGGGCAAUCCAACAAACAAAAGAUUGCCUCUCCAGCACCCCCAUUUUGGUUUGCUGGCAGGAAGAAUAAUAAAAGGCUCUCUCCCAAGCCUUCAAAGAUAUCAUGUAGUCCAUUGUAUGACACAGGGCGGCAUGAGGACAAUCAUGUGCUAUCAUUUGAUGCAGCUGUUCGGUCGGUGUCUCAAGAAUUCGACCACUUCAAGGAGAUUCCUGAAGAGCAGCCCAUUGUAUGACACAGGGCGUCAUGAGGACAACCAUGUGCUAUCAUUUGAUGCAGCUGUUCGGUCGGUGUCUCAAGAAUUCGACCACUUCAAGGAGAUUCCUGAAGAAGACCAAUUUGAUAAGAGAAGCCCAGAGAUCGAGGAAGAACCAGAGACCAGCAAACAGGGUCACAUGUUGAUUUCUUCUGUAAGGGUAUCUGGUCUGGACAACUCAACUUCAAUUUCUCGGCAUCAAACCCUUGAUAAUGGAUCAAUCUCUGAGAUAUGCCCGGAGAUUAAAGAGAGUGCUAUAAGAAGAGAAACUGAAGGUGAGUUCAGGUUAUUGGAAAGGAGAGAAGGAAACAGAUAUGCAGGAGGUAGAUUUUUUGGUAUAGAAGAUGCUGAUCAGCCUGGAAGCCGGGGAAGACGUGUAUCCUUCAGCAUGGAAGACAACCGUAAACCUCGCAUAAGCCAUACACUUGAGCCUGGGGAAUUGUUAGCAACAAGUUUGGAUGAUGACGAGUACCUUAGUGAUGGGGAUUAUGACGACGGGCAAGACUCAGACAGGAGAGAACCUGAGAUAGCAUGCAGGCAUCUUGAUCACAUAAACAUGUUAGGUCUCAAUAAAACUACUCUCCGGCUAAGAUAUCUCAUCAAUUGGCUAGUUACCUCGUUGCUUCAGCUAAGAUUUCCUGGUUCAAACGGGGAAGACAGUUCACGGUUAGUUCGCAUCUAUGGUCCGAAAAUCAAAUAUGAGAGGGGUGCAGCUGUUGCAUUCAAUGUGCGAGACAGAAACAGGGGCCUCGUGAGUCCUGAAAUAGUUCAGAAAGUGGGUGAGGCGCAUGGUAUCUCUUUGGGCAUUGGUAUCUUAAGUCAUAUACGGAUCUUAGACAGCCCAAAACAGCAGCAACGAUCUCUGAGUCUUGAGGACACUACCCUUUGCAAACCAAUGGAAAAUGGCAAGCAUGACGGUAGAAGUGGGUUUGUCAGAGUCGAAGUUGUCACUGCUUCACUUGGCUUCCUCACUAAUUUUACUGAUGUCUAUAAGUUGUGGGCUUUUGUGGCUAAAUUUCUUGACCCUGGCUUUAUUAAAGAAGCUGGACUCCCACCUGUUACAGAAGAAGACACCGAGGCAUGAAGCUUGAGGCUGGUUUAAUAGCUUUUGCUCCUUUUGUUCCUUUUGUUCCUAACCUAAGAUGGCCUGUUGCAGAAGAAGAAACUGUGGCAUGAAGCUUGAGGCUGGUUUAAUAGCUUUUGCUCCUUUUGUUCCUAACCUAAUAUGAGGGAUGUAUCGCCGACAGUGGGUUCACUCUGAUGAAAGUUCAGGUGCAAGAGAAACAAUGAAAAGGUCUGAGAUGUAUUCUUUUGGCCCCCUUGUCUCUUUUUCGAUGCAUGUGGGAGAAUUUUUUUCAUUCUUGUUUUUAAUUGCUUGAAUGUUUCUUUCUUUACCUUUUUUUAGAGUUCCUGUAGAGUUGGGAGUUAGAAAUCUGUAUUUUCUCAGGUAGUCAUGAAUCAUGAUGAACCAAAGCAGAUAUAAGCAGGGGUUAAAUGAUCCCUUUCCACCAUUUGCCCUAUUGCUUCUCAGCUGUGUAUAAUGAUCAUUCAUGCUUGCUCAGUCUAUUAUACAGUCUCUUGUCUUUACUCCUGCAUCAUAUUCUUGCUAUCAGCAUAAUUUUGACAAAAAGUAUAUUCAUAAUGUCCAG
rnacentral:lncRNA from 1 species